AACGAACGCUGGCGGCGUGCCUAACACAUGCAAGUCGAACGAGAAAAGUUUCCUUCGGGAAACCAGUAAAGUGGCGCAAGGGUGAGUAACACGUGAAUAAUCUACCUAUGAAUUCGGGAUAACUUGACGAAAGUUGUGCUAAUACCGAAUAAGACCACGUCUCUUAUGUGAUGUGGCCAAAGGAGUCUCAAACUCCGUUUAUAGAUGAGUUCGCGGACCAUUAGCUUGUUGGCGGGAUAAUAGCCCACCAAGGCUACGAUGGUUAGCCGGCCUGAGAGGGUGAUCGGCCACACUGGAACUGAGACACGGUCCAGAUUCCUACGGGAGGCAGCAGUGGGGAUAUGCGCAAUGGGCGAAAGCCUGACGCAGCAACGCCGCGCGAGGGAUG
rnacentral:rRNA from 1 species